GGAGAACAGUACAUGGGGGAUCUGGAACCUCGCGUCACCCACGUCGACCAAGACGGGCCAUCAUGGUGAGUUCGACGGGAGUCGCGACAUCGACGACAUCCAGAUCAAGCCCGGCUCCUCCUAUAUCUGGAUCGACCGUUGCUCCCUCGAUGACUACGACGACGGGCUAUUGACAUCAUCAGCCAGAGGCGACGUUGUUGUUUUCCUUCCGGGACUCCAGAGUUCAGACGCCCAUGGGCGUGGACUUGUGUGUCAAAGUAAGCCACAAACAAACCAGCCCAAAAUAAGCCAAGGCAAAAGACCGCCACAUGACAAGGAUCUAGCACUGGUAAUAUCAUGCAGGUGUUGGAAGUGUACCUGCCAGUUUUGCUCGGAUUGGUUGAAGAGGGU